GUAACAGGAGAAGCUUGCUUCUCGCUGACGAGCGGCGGACGGGUGAGUAAUACUUAGGAAUCUACCUAGUAGUGGGGGAUAGCACGGGGAAACUCGUAUUAAUACCGCAUACGACCUACGGGAGAAAGGGGGCAGUUUACUGCUCUCGCUAUUAGAUGAGCCUAAGUCGGAUUAGCUAGAUGGUGGGGUAAAGGCCUACCAUGGCGACGAUCUGUAGCUGGUCUGAGAGGAUGAUCAGCCACACCGGGACUGAGACACGGCCCGGACUCCUACGGGAGGCAGCAGUGGGGAAUAUUGGACAAUGGGGGAAACCCUGAUCCAGCCAUGCCGCGUGUGUGAAGAAGGCCUUUUGGUUGUAAAGCACUUUAAGCAGUGAAGAAGACUCCGUGGUUAAUACCCACGGACGAUGACAUUAGCUGCAGAAAUAAGCACCGGGCUAACUCUGUGCCAGCAGCCGCGGUAAUACAGAGGGGUGCAAGCGUUAAUCGGAAAUUACUGGGCGUAAAGGGAGCGUAGGUGGCUCGAUAAGUCAGAUGUGAAAUCCCCGGGCUUAACCUGGGAACUGCAUCUGAUACUGUUGAGCUAGAGUAUGUGAGAGGAAGGUAGAAUUUCCAGGUGUAGCGGUGAAAUGCGUAGAGAUCUGGAGGAAUACCGAUGGCGAAGGCAGCCUUCUGGCAUAAUACUGACACUGAGGCUCGAAAGCGUGGGUAGCAAACAGGAUUAGAUACCCUGGUAGUCCACGCCGUAAACGAUGUCUACUAGUCGUUGGGUCCCUUGAGGACUUAGUGACGCAGCUAACGCAAUAAGUAGACCGCCUGGGGAGUACGGGCCGCAAGGGUUAAAACUCAAAUGAAUUGACGGGGGCCCGCACAAGCGGUGGAGCAUGUGGUUUAAUUCGAUGCAACGCGAAGAACCUUACCUGGUCUUGACAUAUCUAGAAUCCUGCAGAGAUGCGGGAGUGCCUUCGGGAAUUAGAAUACAGGUGCUGCAUGGCUGUCGUCAGCUCGUGUCGUGAGAUGUUGGGUUAAGUCCCGCAACGAGCGCAACCCUUGUCCUUAGUUACCAGCGGGUUAAGCCGGGAACUCUAAGGAUACUGCCAGUGACAAACUGGAGGAAGGCGGGGACGACGUCAAGUCAUCAUGGCCCUUACGACCAGGGCUACACACGUGCUACAAUGGUAGGUACAGAGGGCAGCUACACAGCGAUGUGAUGCGAAUCUCAAAAAGCCUAUCGUAGUCCAGAUUGGAGUCUGCAACUCGACUCCAUGAAGUAGGAAUCGCUAGUAAUCGCGGAUCAGAAUGCCGCGGUGAAUACGUUCCCGGGCCUUGUACACACCGCCCGUCACACCAUGGGAGUUGAUUGCACCAGAAGUGGAUAGCAUAA
rnacentral:rRNA from 1 species